rnacentral:rRNA from 1 species
UGGGGAAUAUUGCACAAUGGGGGAAACCCUGAUGCAGCAACGCCGCGUGAGUGAAGAAGUAUUUCGGUAUGUAAAGCUCUAUCAGCAGGGAAGAAAAUGACGGUACCUGACUAAGAAGCCCCGGCUAACUACGUGCCAGCAGCCGCGGUAAUACGUAGGGAGCAAGCGUUAUCCGGAUUUAUUGGGUGUAAAGGGUGCGUAGACGGGAAAGCAAGUUAGUUGUGAAAGCCCUCGGCUUAACUGAGGAACUGCAACUAAAACUAUUUUCUUGAGUGCAGGAGAGGAAAGCGGAAUUCCUAGUGUAGCGGUGAAAUGCGUAGAUAUUAGGAGGAACACCAGUGGCGAAGGCGGCUUUCUGGACUGUAACUGACGUUGAGGCACGAAAGUGUGGGGAGCAAACAGGAUUAGAUACCCUGGUAGU